rnacentral:rRNA from 1 species
GGCGGACGGGUGAGUAACGCGUGGGUAACCUGCCUCAUACAGGGGGAUAACAGUUGGAAACGGCUGCUAAUACCGCAUAAGCGCACAGUACCGCAUGGUACGGUGUGAAAAACUCCGGUGGUAUGAGAUGGACCCGCGUCUGAUUAGGUAGUUGGUGGGGUAACGGCCUACCAAGCCGACGAUCAGUAGCCGACCUGAGAGGGUGACCGGCCACAUUGGGACUGAGACACGGCCCAA